rnacentral:rRNA from 1 species
GACGAACGCUGGCGGCGUGCCUAACACAUGCAAGUCGAGCGGAAAGGCCAGACUUUUGCGGGGUGGACGAGAGGCGAAGGGGUGAGUAAAACGUGAGUAAAAUGCACUUGAAAGAGGGAUAAAAUCAGGGAAAAGGGGAUAAUAUCGGGUAGGAGCUUCUGAAGCAUGGGGGGGGAAGGAAAGAUACGGCGGUGGGGGAAGGACUAGCGGUGUAUUAGCUAGUUGGUGAGGUAGCGGCUUAACAAGGCAACGAAGGGUAGCCGGCCUGAGAGGGUGAUCGGUCACACUGGAACUGAGACACGGUCCAGACUCCUACGGGAGGCAGCAGUAGGGAAUCUUCCGCAAUGAGCGAAAGCCUGACGGAGCAACGCCGCGUGAGUGAUGAAGGUCUUCGGAUCGUAAAACUCUGUUAUUAGGGAAGAACAUAUGUGUAAGUAACUGUGCACAUCUUGACGGUACCUAAUCAGAAAGCCACGGCUAACUACGUG